rnacentral:rRNA from 1 species
UCGGGAAUCUUGCACAAUGGGGGAAACCCUGAUGCAGCGACGCCGCGUGGAGGAUGAAGGAUCUAGGUCUGUAAACUCCUUUUAUCGGGAAAGACUUAGGACGGUACCCGAUGAAUAAGCACCGGCUAACUACGUGCCAGCAGCCGCGGUAAGACGUAGGGUGCGAGCGUUGUCCGGAUUCACUGGGCGUAAAGAACGCGUAGGCGGCCUGUUAAGUGUGAAGUGAAAUCUCCAGGGCUCAACCCGGAAACUGCUUCGCAUACUGGCAGGCUGGAGGAAUGCAGAGGUGAGUGGAAUUCCUGGUGUAGCGGUGAAAUGCGUUGAUAUCAGGAGGAACACCCGUGGCGAAGGCGGCUCACUGGGCAUUUCCUGACGCUGAGGCGUGAAAGCGUGGGGAGCAAACAG